GAGUUAUUGUGAGAAUUAAAUUUAGUAAUGCAUAUAAAGUACAGAGGAGUGUGUGUCAUAUAACAAGUGCUCAAUAAAUGUUAUUACAGAAAGUGCUGUGCGAUGUGAUGCAAUGAAAAAUGCAAUAUGAAUUUGGAGAAGGAAAGGAUCACCAGAGGUCAGAAGGGUCUAAGGGAGAGUUCAUGAAAGAGAUUCUGCCAUCCCAAGUCGUGGUUUGAGUAGUGACCGUGGUUUCCAUCUCUGUGCCGAGUGCCGUCCAGAGCUGGGAUGUGAGCAGUUAAGAUGCUCUCAGUGACGGGGAUACAGAUGCCUGGAGAUGGUCAGGAUGGGGAGAAGGUUAAAUAAAGCAACAAAGGGCUGUGGUAGCAGCUAAAACACAUCUCCUGCCCAAUCAUGGAACAGAUAGAGGAGCAAAGAGGGGAGACGCUUCUAAGAAGAGUUUGAAGCAAUGAACCUUUUGGCACAAAGAAAUCAAGGAACAGCAUCUUCAUUCCAAACUCAGUGGUGAGCAGCAGCAGAGCUCUGAGUGGUCAGAGAGACGCUGAACUCCAAUGACUGAUACAACCUCAUGUUCUCAGGAAACAAAACAGCAGGCUCUUAACACACAAAAACAGCCCUAUGGUUUACUGUACCUUCAACUUAUACAGAAAGGACUUCUGUUCCUACAUUUCUCUACCAGGUUGUAUGUUCAGAAGGCUACUUAAGCAGUGUCAUAUAUUAUCUCAAAAACAAAAGAAUAUAUAUAUAUAUAUAUAAACACACAAUCCAGUUAUAUACUCCUUGUCUCUUGCAAGUUACUGGAACACUUAAAAUGUCCCUGUUUUCAGAGACUGAGAGUUGAGAAACUGAAAUAUCACAUCAAACUUACAGUACUCGAAUUUUGAGGCAUGUUGACAGGGAAAAUUAUUUGUAAGUCCUUUUUUUCAUUUUUGUAGUUCAUUUUUUUCCCUGCUUUUCAGAGUAAUGCAUUUUUUUAAAAUUGAAAAAAUAUAAAAAUAAAAAGCUAUGUAGUUGUUUUUAAGCAAGCAUAAAUAUGACUAUAAAACUAUGGGAUAAAAUUUUUGUGACAUUAAAAUAAGUAGUGUGGUUUGAGCGCUUUACUUUUGAAAUGAGGCUUGAUGACCUCACCCCUGCAUGCAUUGCUUAUUCCUUCCCUCCUCUCUCGUUCUCUCUCCCUCUAUUCCAUCGCCUUUUCUCCCUGUGCCCUUCUCCUGCGUAUGUGUGUAUGCAUUCUGCCCCCUGUGUUUUCCAUUUAGAUCUGUUCAUCUUAGAAAGAGGAAAUAAAUACGAAGUUGAUAUGUGACUCUGAAAACUUUACACUGUUGUUCUAUGAAAAAAAUACACUUUUAGCAUCAUAACAAUUUUCCGUUUACCCUCAGAAGAGAAUAGAAAAACCUCUAACUUCAAACUGAAAGUGCUUUUGAAAAAUUGCACAGUGGCAAUGUUUGAUGCCCACAUUAUAGCUGGAGCCAGAUAAAGCUAUAAAAUUAAUUUGAAUACUAUUGUCCCAUUCUAUAACUCCAUUGUUAGACUUAAGAGGGACUCUGAAUGAGGUUGAAUUCAGAGUAUUAGGCCAUUUUCAAGAGUGCAAGACGGAUGAAAACAAAACAGAUGUCGCUUCCCGACUUGCUACACUCUUUCCCCCCGAGUGCUUUACU